rnacentral:rRNA from 1 species
GACGAACGCUGGCGGCGUGCCUAAUACAUGCAAGUAGAACGCUGAAGCUUGGUGCUUGCACCGAGCGGAUGAGUUGCGAACGGGUGAGUAACGCGUAGGUAACCUGCCUGGUAGCGGGGGAUAACUAUUGGAAACGAUAGCUAAUACCGCAUAAUAGUAGAUGUUGCAUGACAUUUGCUUAAAAGGUGCAAUUGCAUCACUACCAGAUGGACCUGCGUUGUAUUAGCUAGUUGGUGAGGUAACGGCUCACCAAGGCGACGAUACAUAGCCGACCUGAGAGGGUGAUCGGCCACACUGGGACUGAGACACGGCCCAGACUCCUACGGGAGGCAGCAGUAGGGAAUCUUCGGCAAUGGACGGAAGUCUGACCGAGCAACGCCGCGUGAGUGAAGAAGGUUUUCGGAUCGUAAAGCUCUGUUGUAAGAGAAGAACGAG